UAACACAGCAAUUAAGAGUGGCAAAGAUCCUCAGGGAUUUGUGGAGGUCUAAUCUCCUUUACAGGUGUGAUCUUACCCUCUUCAACCAGCAUCUGAAAUGUCUCCUUAAUUGCAGUCUCAAAAGCUUCAUACGAUGUGGGAACUACAGCUCCAGCAUCCUUUAGUGCUUGAUUUUUUGCUUGAGCAGACUCCAUCUCACCACCACUUUUAGCACCAGCAUGGCCAAAUUGCACUUCUGAUUUGAAGAGCCGUGCACAUGUUCCACUGACCCAAGCAACUAC
rnacentral:misc_RNA from 1 species